rnacentral:rRNA from 1 species
GUAUAGCAAUAGCUAGUUGCACUCAUAGUAAAUAUGAUGCAAGAUUGACUAUGUUGAAUAAAAUUCUAGGUAUGAUUAUGAUAAUGACAUUUUCUGCCUAUAUGUCUUGACCAAAUUACGUGCCAGCAGUCGCGGUAAUACGUAGAAGACUAGUGUUAUUCAUGUUUAAUCGGUUUAAAGGGUACCUAGACGGCAGAUCAAGCUUUCCGAGCAGAAAAAAGUAAAAAGGACUAAUUUGCUAGAGUUACUUACGGUGGGGUUUUAAAGUACUGCUGGUGUAGAGAUGAAAUCCUAUUAUACCUAAGUUCGAGAGAAUAAUAAUGGCACAGGUAUAGGCGAAGGCAUCCCCUUAUGUGAUAACUGACGUUGAGGGACGAAGGCUUUUAACAGCGAACGGGAUUAGAUACCCCAUUAGUGGAAGCAGUAAAUGAUGAAUGUCAUAGAUUAGCUAGAUAGGUUCAUUCUAUAAAUGAAAGUGUAAGCAUUCCACCUCAUGAGUAAUAUGGCAACAUUGGAAUUGAAAUCAUUAGACCGUUUCUGAAACCAGUAGUGAAGUAUGUUGUUUAAUUUGAUGAUCCGCAAAAAACCUUACCACAAUUUGAAUAUAUAUAUUUUUUUUAUUGUUUCACUAUUAAUUUUCUUCUCUUUACACAAACAAAUUUUAUACUAAAAGAGGAAAUAUAUUAAUAAAGAGGCAAUAAGAUAUAUUUACAAGCGCUGCCACGGUUGUCUUCAGUUAAUGUCGCGAGAUUUUGGUUAGAUCCAUUAAAUUAACGUAAACCCUUACUUUAUUUUUAGAUAAAGUUGUUCCCCACUAUAU